rnacentral:lncRNA from 1 species
AUCAGAGGAACCUCGCGUCUCUUGGCUGACGGUUGUCAUGAGUGGACAGAGAGACAACUGGAUUUGGCUUCAACUUGCCUGGUGCUGAGCACUCACUGAGUGGCCUGAACCUCCUUCAGAGCUGGAGAAGAAGCUCCCAGGGUACCAGAUCCAUCAUGCAGCCCCAUCCUGUGUCUAGGAUGGGGUUGGUUAGAUGGGCCAACCCUGCUGAGUUUCCAACCUUCAAACCCCGUCGUAUCCAGCUGGAUGGGAGCGAGCUUGCCAAGGGGAAGUGUUCGUCCUUUGCUCUUUUUUUGGUUUUCUGAGAGGCCCAUGAUUGUUGCGGAUGCCAAGCAGCCCCUGACCUUCACCUGACUGGAGUUUCCAGCUGCUACUGUUAUUACAGCAUGUCUGCCGGAUACAAAUUCAGCUUGAUUCCUUGUACCCAGAAAUUUUAUAUGACAAAUGGGUCUCGUUUCUGAUUCUUGUCUCCCUUUGAUGGACCAGACUGACUGCUACCUGUGAGACCUUCGUACAUCUGCAAGGCAGGAAGGAAGCGUUACAUUUCUCUGCAUUACCUCCUAUUAGCAGUCUGCCAGAGACACUGAUCCAGCAUCUGAAUUUCAGUCAGGGAUCCGUGCAGCAGUUUAUUCAGAGGAAGGAGCUGGUCACCCCACUGCCUGGAGUGCCCCAAGGAGGUGGAAACCAGAGCAGGACUUGCUGGGCACAGAAAGUCUUCACAUCGUGAUGGAGAGUGCAGCCUUGGAACCACCGGAGCAGCCACUGAAGCACAAGCACACGAGAGACCUGAGCUCCUCUCACAGAUGCGUGGCUCUUUCUGCGUGAGGUGUUCUCCAUGAUGAACAAGAAGGUGGUGUGGUGACAAAAAGAAGGAAGCUCUGAAGGAAGAACACAAGUCUGGGAGCCACCCAGGCUGCCUGCACGGCCUGCUGCCUCCUUCAGCUUCCUGGGACAGGAGGGAGCAGCACCCAGCAAAAGCAACUUGCAGGACAUAAACCGUUGCAGUGGGAGACAGCACGUCGCGUGGGAAUGCGAGAGCUCCCCAGCCAGUCAGGCUGGGUCUGCAGCAUCUGAGCAAGGAAGGGACUUGAAUGAAGAAAAGGGAUGCAGGAUUAAAAAGGG